GACGAACGCUGGCGGCGUGCCUAAUACAUGCAAGUCGAGCGGACGAAUCGAAAGCUUGCUUUUGAUUCGUUAGCGGCGGACGGGUGAGUAACACGUGGGCAACCUGCCCUGUAGACGGGGAUAACACCGAGAAAUCGGUGCUAAUACCGGAUAACACGAAAUGUCGCAUGACGUUUCGGUGAACGACGGCGCAAGCUGUCGCUACAGGAUGGGCCCGCGGCGCAUUAGCUAGUUGGGGAGGUAACGGCUCACCAAGGCGACGAUGCGUAGCCGACCUGAGAGGGUGAUCGGCCACACUGGGACUGAGACACGGCCCAGACUCCUACGGGAGGCAGCAGUAGGGAAUCUUCCGCAAUGGACGAAAGUCUGACGGAGCAACGCCGCGUGAGCGAAGAAGGCCUUCGGGUCGUAAAGCUCUGUUGUUAGGGAAGAACAAGUAACGCAGUAACUGGCGUUACCGUGACGGUACCUAACGAGAAAGCCACGGCUAACUACGUGCCAGCCGCCGCAGUAA
rnacentral:rRNA from 1 species